rnacentral:lncRNA from 1 species
GGGGUGGCACCGCAAGGGGAUGGGGGGGACGUCCCCAGGGAGGGGGGCACUCAGGGGUGGCACCGCAAGGGGAUGGGGGGGACGUCCCCAGGGAGGGGGGCACCCAGGGGUGGCGUCUCCAGGGAACGGUGGGGACGUCCCCAGGGACAUGGGGGCACCCAGGGGUGGCAGCUCCAGGGGACGCUUUGGACAACCAUGGGGACAUCUCCGGGGAUGGGGGGGCACCCAGGGGUGGCGCCUGCAGGGGACACUGGGGACAACCCCAGGGACACCUUUGGGGUGCCAGUGAAACCCAGGGGGUGGCAUCCUCAGGGGACACUGGGGACAGCUGUGGGGACAUUUCCAGGGGCAGAGGGGUUCCUGGGGAGGGGGACACCUGGGGACACCAGGGGUACCCAGGGUGGCAUCUCCAGGGGACACCGUGGGGGACCCGGGGGGCGUCACCUCUGGGUGGCAGGUGGCGGGGUGGGGACAGGGGCUUGGUGGCCACUCACCCUCCUUCAGCACCCGCCAGCGGGGUGCCCCAUGGCCGUCCCUCCGUCCGUCCCUCCGUCCGUCCGUCCCGGCCGAUGGGUGAUGGGGAUGUGGCGGAGGGGGGGUGGGGGGGUGUUAAGGCCCCCGGGCGCACGUGGCACUGCCAUUGUCCGGGGACACAAAGGCUGGGAAGGCUCUGGGUGCUCUGGGUGCCGCGGCCCCCCCCCCCCCCGGGGGCUGACACCGCAAAAUCCCGUCCCCGUGUGUCGACCGCCUGCGGGGACGCUGGGGACAGCGGGGGGGGGGACAAGAGGAAUGGCACCCAGGGUCCCCCCCCCCGCCCACGUCCCCAGGGCAGGGCGGCAGCACCUCGGGGACAGCGGGUCCUGGCCCCGUUGGCAGGAUCAGUCCCGGCUCGGCCGGGCUUGUCCCCAGCACCCCGGGGACACGGCUGCAGCUGGGGGGGGCAGGGGACAGCGGGGGCACCGCGGGCGUGGGGGGCACCAGGGACAGGGACACCGGGGAAGGUGCCACCGGGGGCACAGACACCAGGGGCACGGGGGACGCUGGGGACAGGCGCCGCCGCUCGGGGCAAGCACCACGCCCCAAAUCUCCCCACAUUCUGCCCCGUUUCCACCGCUUUUUGACCCAAAAAGCGCUGUGGCCGGGGGGGUGGCACCAGGCGACAGCAGGGGAGGGGCGAGGAGGUGUUGGCCCCCUGGUGACCCCCGGGGGGACGUGCCACACGCGUGUGCCCUGGCAGGCGGACACGCGCGGCCCCACCUGCAAGUGGGGUCACACCGGGGGGGGGACACACACGUCCAGGACAAGCAGGCAGAGGGACACACCCACGUGUGCACACCCCCCCCAUGUGUGUGCACAUAUUUGCACACUCACACAUGCGCACGCAUGUGCACACUCAGACGUGUGCACACCCACAGGU